GACGAACGCUGGCGGUAUGCUUAACACAUGCAAGUCGAACGAGACGGGAUGGAAGGAGCCUUCGGGUGACGGAAAUCCUAGAAAGUGGCGAACGGGUGAGUAACGCGUGGGUAACCUGCCCUAUGGAAUGGAAUAGCCUCGGGAGACUGGGAGUAAUGCCUUAUAAUAUACAGAAGUCGCAUGGCUUUUGUAUUAAACGCUCCGGUGCCAUGGGCUGGACCCGCGUCCCAUUAGCUAGUUGGGGAGAUCACAGCCCACCAAGGCGACGAUGGGUAACCGGUCUGAGUGGGCGAACGGAAACACUGGAACUAAGGCCAUGUCCAACCUCCUACAGGAAGAAGCAGUGGGGAAUAUUGCGCAAUGGGAGAGACCCUGACGCAGAAAUACCGCGUGAGUUAAGAAGGUUUUGGGAUCGUAAAGCUCUGUUAUUGAGGAAGAAAAAAGACGGUACCCAAGAAGAAAGCCCCGGCGAACUACGUGCCAGCAGCCGCCGUAA
rnacentral:rRNA from 1 species